CAGGAGCCUGCACUUUUCAAUAUUCAUUUAUUGUCUUGGACAAGGAAGUAGAAAACAGUGUAAUUGAGUUUAUAAAAGACUGCUAAAUGCGGAGUGCAGUUGGUCUGUGUAAUGGUAGGACUGCUGUUCAGAAAGAGCUGGAGGGGUGGUCCACAGUGAACCACAUGAAGUUCUGCAGGGCAACAAGGUGUCUUGUGCUAGGAUGAGUGGACUAAGACUCUGCAGUGGUGUAGGCUGACUGCCUGGCAAGAGAGUAGCUCUGCUAAAAGGAAUCUGUUUUUAAGAACAGUGUGCUGAAACAUGAAUCUAUACUGCUCCCUGGCAGCAAAGAAGACUAAUAACAUCCUAGGCUGUUCGAGGAGAACUUGAGCCAGUAAGUUAAAGGAAGUGAUUAUUUUCCAUUACUUGCCACUUGGUAGAUGAUAUGUGCUAUCCCCUAGAGCUGGAGAAGUGCUGAUAAAUGUGAGCAAAUUGAGCAUAGUGCCACCAGCAUGGUCAAUGACUAGAACAAAAUUCAUUUUGUGAAGCAGACCAUAAGGAGAGUGUGGGAGGUGAAUGCUUAUUCCACGGUGGGGUUGUUUGUGGGAAUAAGUGUUAGCUGUUGAUGUUGGCAGUACGGUAAGCUGUAGCUGUGACCUCACUCUUAAGUGCUGGUCUGUACUUGGAAUCUGAGUGGCUGUGGGCUUGGUAACUGUAGCUGUCUUCUGCUCUCUCUUUAGACACUGUUCAAAAGGAGUUCAGUAGCUUUGUGGCCAGGUGUGAAGAUGACAGCGUUGAAAAUGAAGGAGAAUCUUAGCUCAUAAAUAAUUGCCUUGUGAACCAAAUGGCAGUUUGACCAAUGGAAGAGAAUUCAGUAGUGGAAGAGCAGCUAUCUGUUCUGUUGGAAGCAUUCCAGAAGCAUUAAAAUUGUCCAUAAAGUGAUGUUUUGAAGACUAGUCCAGCUGUUUCCAGAGCCUACUUUUCAUUCCUCAGAGUGGACGGCCUCCUUUUUGAAUGUUGCUGCAUGGAGGAACUCAGUGCUCCAGACAAGUAUUCUCAAACAUAGCUAUCUGCUGGAGUCAGAAGAAGACUGGCAAACUAUGAUCAUCUCCUGCUGGUGGUUGACUUCAAGAUAAAGCUGUGGUUUGGUUUGCUCUUAGAUCCGAACAGAGCUGCUGCUGCUGUUAAGACUGUUUUAUUUUUCCUGAACUUUUGAUAUUUCUGGGGAGAGGGUUUAUUUUAUGUCUUAGCUGCUGCUUCACAUUAUGCUAAGAGACCCCUAACCCACCCAUUUCUAAAGAAGAGUAAUAUGGUUUUAGGUUGCUCAUGUCUGGAAAGAGAACUUGAAAACUGAGCUCAUAAAUACAAUGAAGCUCAAAAAGAAUCAAAGAGAAAAGAAUACCAUGUAUUAAUGUUUUCAAAACAACAAGCUGUGGAGUAUGAAUUCUGCUUGCUGUUUUGUUUAUGGAAGCUAGAAUGCCAUUUCAUUUGGUUUUGAAAGUUGUGUAUGAGAAGAUUGAUAAAGGUUUGAUAGUGAUAACAAGAAAUCAGAAAAUUUUCCUUUGUCUUCCUCGUUGGACUGAUUCUUGCUUGCAAGGCAGGAUUCAAAUUCUCCUCUGUGUAAUAGAUUAGGAAUGCCCAUGCCCUCAGUAUUACUCAGACUUCAAACUGAAAUUGGAUAGGAAUGGAAGGGAUUCUGGCAUAUUGCCAAUUCUUGUUAUACUACCUUGGCUUUAUGAAAUAUUUCAGCCAAAUAGUUGAUUAUUUAAACAUCUGAACCAUUCCCAUGCAAAUAGAGUCUGUUCUUGGUACCUGUGGUUAUUUUAAUGAAUCAGUUCUGAGUGGUACAGUGUUAAGGCAUGUUUAUGAAUAACAUAGUGAGAAGACUAGUAACAGAGAAGAACUCGUAGCACUAUUAGAAAUGAUAGGAAAAUACGAGGUUAGAUGGAACACGAGGUUAGGUAGUCCAAACUCCUACUUAAACCAAGGUCAACACUGAAAUGGGACUCUGCUUUACCUACUUUGGUUUUGAAAACCCUCAAAGAUGGAGACUGGACAGACUCUCUGGCAAUCUCUUUUAUUGUCUGACUGCUUUAAUGUUGAAAAUCUUUCCGGUCUGAAUCAUUGCUGUUUCAACUUCAUGUCUGUUAUCUCUCGUCUUCUCACCAGGUACCAUUAUAAAGAACGUGUCUCCAUCUUCUUGAUGAUCAUCUUGUAGGUAUAGGAAGGCUGCUGCUGGUUACCACCCCCAAAGAAUUUUCUUUUCCAGAUGUGAACAAACACAGUGUCCAGAGUGUCUCCUUACAAUGCCAUUGCUCUAACCCUCUGACCAUCUUCGUGGUUCUUCACUGAAAUUGCUCCAGUUGACUGAUGUAUCUGUCUUCUUGAAAGGGUACAAAAUCAGGAGCGGUUUUAUAAAUGGGCGCUAAUUUAAUUCUGAGUAGAGGAGGAUAAUUAUGGAAUCAUAGAAUAUCCUAACUUGGAAGGGACCCAAAUCUCUGACUCCAACUCCUGCCUCUCCACAACUUAGGGGUUAAACUGUGUAUCUUAAGAACAUUGUCCAAUGACAGACCCCAUUAAGGCUACCCUACAUGGUGCUAGUGAGUCUUUUGGUUUGCCGUGGCUGCUCUCUGUUGCCAGGAAAAAUGUGGAGACCCAGACAGAGGUCCCACAACAACAUGCUAGUGCACAGGUCUGUGUUUGCAGUGAGUGCCAGAGCCUGGCCCUUGCAGCAUGGGGCGACAGAGAUAGCAUUUGUGUUAGAUGCAACCAGCUGAAUGAUUUACUUAGCUCAGUAGUUGACCUGAAGGAGCUGGUGGAGAAGCUGAGGAGCAUUAGGGAGUGUGAGAGGGAGACAGAUUGGUAAUGCCAGUCCCUGCCAACCCUGAGAUCUAGGCAUCCAGCUGAGGCUCCAGAUGAAGCACAUCACCCCCUACUGCCUUGCAAACAGGUAAUAGCAGGAGACCAUCAGGCAGUCAGUGUUCCUGCUACAGUGAGCUCUUGUCUUUUCCUCCUCCUAACAAAAAUGAUGAUGAACUGGGGGCAGGGGGCAAUAGCAAAAGGUCCAUGCUCAGUGAUGCAGACACACCUUCCCAACAGUUCCCCCACCUCCCCAGCUGCCCCUGCAGAACAGGUUACAGUGCUCUUCAGGGCCAAUUGGACAGUGGUGGGGAUGAUAGUUCUUCCUGCUUAGGGGUGUCAUCGAAGUCUAGCAAGACUACCCUUAACAUUAAAACCUUCUCAGUAAAGAAAAAAAGAUGGGUCGUUGGUGGUGGUGAAGCACUGCUGAAGGGAGCAGAAGGCCCAAUAUGCAGACCAGACUCACUGCACAGGCAGGUCUGCUGCCUCCAGGGGUUCAGGUUAAAGAUGGAAGGGAGAAACUUCCUUUCUUAGUAUGGUCCUCAGAUUAUUAUCCCCUAUUGUUGUUUCAGGUAGGCAGGGAUGAAAUGGGAAGGACUUCCCUAAGGACUAUUAAGAAGCACUUCAGAGCCUUAGGGCAGCUGGUCAGGGGUUCAGGAGCACAAAUGUUCUCCUCUAUCCCUCCAGUUAUAGGGAAUGAUGAGGGACUCAACACGAUGGGCCAACAGAUGAAUUCUUGGCUCUGAGCCUGAUGUGCCCAGCAGGGAUUUGGGUUUUUUGGCCUUGGCUCAACUUACAAUAGACCAGGCCUGCUGGUAAUCAAUGAGAAUAGCUUAUCCGACUGGUGGAAAGGGGUUUUAUGAUGGGAGUUGGCAAGGUUCAUUGAUAGAGCUUUAAACUAGGUAUGAAGGGAGAUGGGGGUGAAACCAGGGUCACUGGAAAGGAGCCUGUAUGUUACAUGCCAGUGCUUGUUGGAGGGAGAUGUGCUAGUAAGAUCUUAUAGUCUUGUGUCUUGGUGAAGGAGAACAAAAAACCUUUUUGUAGGAAGAAUACAAGGGUUGGUGUGAGGCUAGUUGCUACAGAAACACGUAAGUAUGGUCAAGAGUGUUAGGGCUUUUCCCACUCAAAAGGUGGCUCAGCUUCAGUGCGUUUAGACU